rnacentral:rRNA from 1 species
UACGUAGGGUGCAAGCGUUGUCCGGAAUUAUUGGGCGUAAAGAGCUCGUAGGCGGUUUGUCGCGUCGGCUGUGAAAACCUGCAGCUCAACUGCAGGCUUGCGGUCGAUACGGGCAGGCUAGAGUUCGGUAGGGGAGACUGGAAUUCCUGGUGUAGCGGUGAAAUGCGCAGAUAUCAGGAGGAACACCGGUGGCGAAGGCGGGUCUCUGGGCAGUAACUGACGCUGAGGAGCGAAAGCGUGGGGAGCGAACAGG